rnacentral:tRNA from 1 species
UCCCUGGUGGCUCAGAUGUUAAAGCGCCUGCCUGCAAUGCAGAGACCUGGGUUCGAUCCCUGGGUGGGGAA